rnacentral:rRNA from 1 species
AACGAACGCUGGCGGCAGGCUUAACACAUGCAAGUCGAACGCACUCUCCGGGAGUGAGUGGCGGACGGGUGAGUAACGCGUGGGAAUCUACCCAGCCCUUCGGAAUAGCUCCGGGGAAACUGGAAUUAAUACCGAGUACGCCCUACGGGGAAAGAGUUAUCGGGUUGGAUGAGCCCGCGUUGGAGUUAGCUAGUUGGUGGGGUAAUGGCCUACCAAGGCGACGAUCCAUAGCUGGUCUGAGAGGAUGAUCAGCCACACUGGGACUGAGACACGGCCCAGACUCCUACGGGAGGGCAGCAGUGGGGGAAUAUUGGACAAUGGGCGAAAGCCUGAUCCAGCCAUGCCGCGUGAGUGAUGAAGGCCUUAGGGUUGUAAAGCUCUUUCAGUGGGAAGGAUAAUGACGGUACCCACAGAAGAAGCCCCGCUAACUUCGUGCCAGCAGCAGCCGCGGUAAU